rnacentral:lncRNA from 1 species
AAUAGGGGGACCCUUCACUUGCCCCGAUCUCAUAGUACAGGUUCUCUCCCCUGUCGAGUGGUGCAGGGGGGCCCAGGGAGCUCCUCCAGACUGGGGCUGGGGAACUGGGCUGGAAGGAUGGGGGGCCCAGGGGGUACAAGCCUGGCUUGGGGACCCCGAGGAAGGGUGGCAGGCACUCCCUGGGGGCUGGGGAGAAGAAGCCGGGGGUAGGAACCUGUGAGGGGACAGAACAUGGGGACUGGGCUGCUGCCUCUGGCGCAUCCCUGCCCCCGCCACCUGCCCUGAGCUGGGCACUGACCUGGGCAGGGCCUCGGAGUCCCCUCCUUGAGGUCCCCAUGGGCCGCUGGCUCCUCAGCAGGCUUCCAUCACUUUGUUGCCUUGGUAAGUAGGGUGGGGGUCCCGGGACCCAGGCACCCGGGUGGGCUAGGGAGUUGGGAGGUGGCCCACUCCCUGAGGUCCCCAGGGGCUCCUCGCCCACCUCCAGAGACAGCGAGCGGUGGAAGGGGGAUUGGGGAGCAGGUGGGGUGCCCCCACACUCCUGCUGGCUCUGUUGCUCGGCCACCUGCUGAGCCCGCUCAGCCAGGGCCAGGGCCAUGAGGCGUGCUGGGUUCUUAGGGGGCGGGGGUGGGGCACCCCCAGGGCGCAGGAGAGACAGGGGAGGGGGUGGCAGUGGUGACUCCAUAUCAGGACCUAUAUAAAUGAAUGGAGAGGGGUUCAGCUGGGGCCAGGCCCUCAGAAUCAGUGACAGCUGGCGGGGACAGGGGUGGGGUAGGCCGAGGACUCACCGAGUGGGCCCUGGGCUCCCCGGAGCUUGCUGCACAUCUCCUGCUGGCAGGCGUCAGUCAGCGGGGCCUCGGCUCCACGCAGCAGCAGGGCCAGGCUGAGGUACGGUGUGAGGGAGACCCAGAGAGUGCCCCCAGCCCAGCUGCUGAGGACUCAGAGGAUGAAGAGGAGGACUCAGAGGAGGAGGACUCGGAGGAGGAGGACGAGGACAGGCUCUCGCAGGAGCCAGCAGCCCCACAGAAAGCUGGGGAAAGGACAUGAAGAGGCGCCUCCUGGAGAGGGCCACAGUAGCUGUGAAGCCAGGAAGAGCUGUUCAGAUUGACAGUGGAGACCAUGAAGAAGACACUUCGGGCCCAAAGUAUGAAGGCCCUGUGGCUGCCCCACAGGCUGUGAGCACGAGACCAACAGAUUCACAUACAGCUGCUGAGCCAGCAGGACAGCACCUGGGCUCCUGGGAAUAAUAAAGACUUUUAAAGGGCCCGUCAUGGACCAAUGGGUAAGUUAAGUUCAGUGUGUGAUGAACCAAAGGUGAUACUGUAUCCAACUCAUUGUACAUAAAGGCCAGGUUAAAUUUUUCAAAAGCCCCAGGGCCCCCAAACGUGAAGUAUAAAAUUUGGAGGCCAAACCAGGGCCCCAAUUCCUCCCGGCUCCACAUGGGCACAGGUAGCGCCCCCCACUUGCCCCCCUUGCUCACCAGCCCCGCUGGCCUGCGAUGACAGAGACUCCUCGCUCUUGGCAGAUCUCAGUGUGACGGUGUCGGGUCUGCUGCCUGCAGGAGAGGGAGAGGUAGGAGGGCACUCCAGCGACCAUCGCUACCCACCAGCCCAUGGCCCAGCCUCUCACCUGAAGGCUGCGGUGGGGCACGGGUGCCCCCCAGCCAGGGCAGGGGCUUCUUUCGAGGGACACUGGGGCCCCGGCCCAGUGCAAAGAACGUCUUCCAGCUGCUGCCCCCUGGCUUCCGCUGCUUCUCCCCUCUCUCCCCUUUCCUCCUGCGGUUUGGGGGAGAAACAGGAGGCCGUCUGAGGAACCAGGCCUCCACCUGCCCCUCGCCGCCCCCAGCAUCCCACUCACCUUUCCGCAGGUGAGGCCGGGGCCUUGGGAGUUGUGGGCUCCGUGGGCGUCCCCAGCCGGCCCUGGGUGCGUGCCUGGGCUUCCUCCAGCGUCAGCAGGCGGGUGGAGGGGCAGCUGCCCGCAAGGGACUUGGGCCUGGGGAGCAGGCAGCGGCCUGGGGAGUGUGGAAAGGGGGCAGCUGUCAGCUCUGGGGCCGCCCAAGGCCACAGGCAAAGCCAAGCGCCACAGCCCAAGCCCCGGCCCCGCAGCAUGCCCACCCGGGCUGGCAAGGCAGGGGGCCGGGGCGGAUCAGGCGGGAGCAGGCGGGCAGCAGGCAGGUGGGAGGAGGGCGGGGCGGGACGAGCUGAUGAGGAGGCAGCUCCCGGCGGCCAGCGAGGGCAGCGGCUCUGGCUUCAGUUACCUCGGGCCAGAGGGCCCUCCGACGUGCUGAGUCCUGACUGGGCUGGG